rnacentral:rRNA from 1 species
AGAGGGGGAGGCGCUGCCGCUCGGCGGCGGUGCGAGGUGGGAGGAGGCGGGAUCAGGGACGAUGGGCCGACGACGCGGGGAAGGGGAUUUUCCCUUUUGAGGGGGGAAGGAAGUAACGCGGGGGUCAGAAAUGGCGCGCUGACGGCGGCGGCACGGGAGAGGGCCGCCAGCCGAGACACAUGUUCUCGACAGGACCACGAUGUGCCUGUGGCGUGCGGCGGGGUCAGGCCCCUGUCGAGCGGAAGUCGACGGGCAAGGCGGCGGCUCACAUACGGUUCUACGGUCGGCCCCUUUUCCUCCUCUCCCACUGGUACCUCCAGUGGCUGCUCUACGAGUUCUGGUACCUCCAGCCGAACCGGAAGGCCCUGAUAUAACCGUCUUAAUCAAGAUACCUAAAGGUGUCGUUCCGAUGUUUGAUAGACCACUGUCGGUCACUACUACUUAGCUAUGCGGAUAUACUGUAAGUUUUACGACAUACAAACUUCUGGUAAUUAUCGUUUUUCAUACCCCAACUUGACCACACGAAGUGAUGAUUGGGUUGAGAACAGAACAUAAGGAGCUUUUUACCAACCCUACUUAGAGACGCAGAUGAGAGAGAUUUACUAUUGGCCAAACAUUCUAUAAAGUUUCCGGUAGAACUGUCCCAACAACGAUACAGUAAUACAAUACUCUUUCUGUCAAAAGAUAGACCAAGUGAACUAGCUUGACAAGAGGAUACCCUAGACUCCCGACUGUUUCGUGUCCCGAACGACGCACACGUUCCCUCCGGGCGUCAAAGUAUACUACUAGUCCCAAAUCAAAAGCGUCAACGAAUACCACCAAUACAUUCCUACAAACUACGAGCUUUUAAACUCUUCCCCGGAAAACUAUAAAAGAGGCAACCAUUACUGCUUAGUCUUCGGUUAUACUAUUUCAAGUCGUCACUACCUUCCGCCGAAGAAAAUUGGUGGUUUCGUCCCACAUAAGUACACGAUCUAAGUAAAGUACCGUUGUCAGAUCGUUGAAAGUUACAAUUCGGUCAACAUUGGUUAAGCUGUAACCUCCGUAGUAAGUCGGACUACCUUUGGUAUAAUAUAGACCGAGACCACUACCAUCACAAAUACGAACCUCGCAAUCUUCACCUUUCUUCCAACGCGCCACCCCCUCGUGUCUAUCGCUCGGUGGUAACCAAUCCACCCGAGGUCCUAGCAACUACAAGAACUGACCUAGAAGUCUUGAUAGGACGACCCAGGGCCUGGAUAGCUUCGACCCUAGCAAACGGCAAUGGUUCAUUUGACUAACAAGAAUAUGACUGUAAACUGCCUAGUUACGCCGAAUAGUUCAUACGUAUAGAUCCAUCGUUCCUACUAGCUGAAAGGUGACCGUAAGUCGACACUUAUACUCCUUCUUAUUCGACAACAUCGUGUAACAUACAGAUCUACAACCGGAGAGUAGAGAGUACACAGCAAUCCGAAAGGCGCUGUGACAAACGGAACCAUCUCACAUACAUAUUGACAUUUCAUUCGAGGAGUAACGUGUGUCUACACUAUAACUUAACUUUGGUACUCGACACACUUGUCCAAAAUCGCUAAAUAGCACAAAAUAAUAUUAGUACAUCGUGACGUGAGUCAUACUA